rnacentral:lncRNA from 1 species
AUUCUUACCUUCAUCAUAUAUACUUAUUUUCAUCUUCUUAUAACUAUCGUCACACACUCAUGCCUCCAUAGCAUUUCCACACACUCAACCUUUUUAAAAAAACACCAUUCACCAACAUUGUGCCUCUAUCUCCUCCACAUUUAUCAUCGUCAGUGACAACCACCCAACCUCCAUCAACAACCAUAAAACCACCCAAACUCCAUCUUCUAUCUUCUUCUUUCCGAAAAACUUCAAAACCCACCUUACAACACUCCACUCUCUGCCUUACAACCCAUAAAUCGGAGAUCGCAUACCAACAACCGUCAAACCUCCGUUCCAGAUCCGACAAGCUUCCCUUCCUCUUUUAACUUCAAGCAACCCUCAAUCUCCUCACAUCCAUAACUUCUCAUUCCAUACUGUGAAACUCCAACAAAACCUCCACCCAUCGAACAACAUGACCCUUCGAACCACACGCCACACGCCACCUUUUAGCUCCGCUGACAAUGAUUAUACGACAACACGUACAAUCUUGCACAAAUCAGCGCUCUUUCCUUUUCGCUUCGAACAUCGAAUGUAGCAAGCAACCAUCAUCAUUGUAUUCU